rnacentral:rRNA from 1 species
GCACCUACGGGGGGCAGCAGUGGGGAAUUUUGGACAAUGGGCGCAAGCCUGAUCCAGCUAUUCCGCGUGUGGGAAGACGGCCUUCGGGUUGUAAACCACUUUUGUAGAGAACGAAAAGUCUAUUGAUAAUACCGAUAGACGAUGACGGUACUCUAAGAAUAAGCACCGGCUAACGACGUGCCAGCAGCCGCGGUAAUACGUAGGGUGCGAGCGUUAAUCGGAAUUACUGGGCGUAAAGGGUGUGCAGGCGGAUUUGCAAGAUGGAUGGGAAAGCCCCGGGCUUAACCUGGGGAAGGCAAACAAGA